GACAGGGGUAGCAAGCGUUGUUCGGAGUAACUGGGCGUAAAGGGUCUGUAGGUGGUUUUUCAAGUCUUUGGUAAAACGCCGUGGCUCAACCAUGGUUUGGCCAAUGAGACUGGGAGACUGGAGGCUGGGAGAGGGAAGCGGAAUUUCUGGUGUAGCGGUGAAAUGCGUAGAGAUCAGAAAGAAGGCCGGUGGCGAAGGCGACUUCCUGGAACAGACCUGACACUGAGAGACGAAAGCGUGGGGAGCAAACAGGAUUAGAUACCCGGUAGUCCACGCCCUAAACGAUGGGAACUAAGUGUGGGGAGCAAUCCCCGUGCCGCAGCUAACGCAAUAAGUUCCCCGCCUGGUGAGUACGGCCGCAAGGUUGAAACUCAAAGGAAUUGACGGGGGCCCGCACAAGCGGUGGUGCAUGUGGUUUAAUUCGACGCAACGCGAGGAACCUUACCUGGGUUUGACAUGGCGCUGGUAGUGAACCGAAAGGGGAACGACCCCGCAAGGGGAGGCGUCACAGGUGCAGCAUGGCUGUCGUCAGCUCGUGCCGUGAGGUGUUGGGUUAAGUCCCGCAACGAGCGCAACCCCCGCCCUUUGUUGCUACCGGGUAAAGCCGGGCACUCGAAGGGGACUGCCAGCGAAGAGUUGGAGGAAGGUGGGGAUGACGUCAAGUCAUCAUGGCCUUUAUAUCCAGGGCGACACACGUGCAACAAUGGCCGGUACAGACGGAGGCGAGCCCGUAAGGGGGAGCAAAUCCGAGAAAGCCGGUCUCAGUUCGGAUUGAGGUCUGCAACUCGACCUCAUGAAGUCGGAAUCGCUAGUAAUCGCGUAUCAGAACGACGCGGUGAAUACGUUCCCGGGCCUUGUACACACCGCCCGUCACACCACGAAAGUCUGUUGUACCCGAAGUCGGUGUCCGAACCCCGCAAGGGGACGAAGCCGCCCAAGGUAUGGCCGAUGAUUGGGGUG
rnacentral:rRNA from 1 species